UUAUUCAUUUUCAGGGCAGUGAUAAAGUUACACACUUUUAUGUGUACUUCAGUUGUUUAACCCUGUAUUUUCUUUUUAUAGGCAAAAUUAUUGCUGUCUGCUGUACCCAUGGGUUAAACAGGACUGGCUACCUCAUUUGCAGUGUACCCAGGUCAAGUGGUUUUGAAGACUCAGCACAUUUCAUGCAGCCAGUCCACCCCAUGAAUUAGCCUGUUAAACAAAGCCCUAGGUGUAAUCUACAUGGGAUCCAGGGUCACUCAACUCCUCGGCAUUUCCACGCUCAGACCCCACAUUUGCAACAGUGAGUCAGUGGACAUGAUGUUGGAAUUGCUUCAAUGAAGAAUCAAAAAUGAUAAAUCAGAAUGUUCAAGGCACUAAGAGUCAGAUCUCUCAGCUGUUCUCCAAUCUUGCCUGUGACUAGUCAUGUGUCUUUGGGAUAACUGGACUUGCUUUCAUCAAUACAUCUUUCUAAUCUCUACAAUUUUCAUCCUGCUGCUUCAACUUGGGACCAACUGGAGAAAGCAAAAUACUCAC